UACGAACUGUGCAACCGUUAUUCGGAAUCACUGGGCUUAAAGGGUGCGUAGGCGGCUUGUCAAGUAGGGUGUGAAAGCCCCCGGCUUAACCGGGGAAUUGCGCCCUAAACUGACGAGCUGGAGUGGGACAGGGGUGUGUGGAACUUCCGGUGGAGCGGUGAAAUGUGUUGAUAUCGGAAGGAACGCCGGUGGCGAAAGCGACACACUGGGUCUCAACUGACGCUGAGGCACGAAAGCCAGGGGAGCGAACGGG
rnacentral:rRNA from 1 species